GGCUCAAUGGUCUAGUCGUAUGAUUCGCGCUUCGGGUGCGCGAGGCCCCGGGUUCAAUUCCCGGUUGAGCCC
rnacentral:tRNA from 1 species